rnacentral:rRNA from 1 species
UACGUAGGUGGCAAGCGUUUAUCCGGAAUUAUUGGGCGUAAAGCGCGCGCAGGCGGUUUCUUAAGUCUGAUGUGAAAGCCCACGGCUCAAUCGUGGAGGGUCAUUGGAAACUGGGGAACUUGAGUGCAGAAGAGAAAAAGCGGAAUUCCACGUGUAGCGGUGAAAUGCGUAGAGAUGUGGAGGAACACCAGUGGCGAAGGCGGCUUUUUGGUCUGUAACUGACGCUGAGGCGCGAAAGCGUGGGGAGCAAACAGG